rnacentral:tRNA from 2 species
UGGGGAAUCGUCUAACGGUAGGACGCCUGACUCUGGAUCAGGUAGUCUAGGUUCGAAUCCUAGUUCCCCAGCCA